GCAAAUCCCAAUUCGCCUCUCCCACCUGCCCCCUCCUCUACCCUGGCUUGAGGGGAAGAGCCAGAGGAGCCUGGCAGGGUGCUCCUGGGAUAGCUGAGUGUCAGGAAGUGGUCAGGCACUGAUAAAACCGAGAGCCAAGCAGGACAAGAAACACAGCUGCAGGGAGCCUCCAGGAAGUGUGCAGAGGCUAAGCACAGGAACCUGCAGACUAAAUGGAAAGGCUAACAAAGCCAAGCACCAGGCACCAGCUGCCAACCUCCCGAGACGUGGAGCUGUCCAGGGGCAGAGACAGAAGAGGCAGCCUCGUGCCACCGCAUAGAACCCCGGAGCCACACAGACCCCUGGAGCCCCACCAACUGUGAGAAGGCUCCU
rnacentral:lncRNA from 1 species